rnacentral:rRNA from 1 species
UACGAAGGGGGCUAGCGUUGCUCGGAAUCACUGGGCGUAAAGCGCACGUAGGCGGAUUGUUAAGUCAGGGGUGAAAUCCUGGAGCUCAACUCCAGAACUGCCUUUGAUACUGGCGAUCUUGAGUCCGGGAGAGGUGAGUGGAACUGCGAGUGUAGAGGUGAAAUUCGUAGAUAUUCGCAAGAACACCAGUGGCGAAGGCGGCUCACUGGCCCGGUACUGACGCUGAGGUGCGAAAGCGUGGGGAGCAAAGCAGGG